rnacentral:lncRNA from 1 species
UUUAGGGUCGAGUGAGUUGGUGUAGCAGCUGUGGAGGGUUGUUGGACUGGUGGUUCUUGAUCUUGAAUAAACACUCCAUGCCUCGGAUCGAGUCGACUUCUUUUUACAGAAGGCAUGAAGAUUUGUGUCGGUGUCGAAUCACUUGUGGAUGGAACAGAUGUGGGAAUAACAGAAUCAAGGGGAGGAAUCCUUGAAGUUGUAUCCAUAUCGGUUGAAAGGUGUCGGCCAUCUGAUCAAAAAAUUGGAGACGUCACUUUGAGAGCACCACUAACUCCUUCUGUCUAGGUUGCACAACAUCAUGGACAGUGUCAAAGAAAGCAUCGAGGUCUUCACUGCUUAACCUUAUAUCAUUAUCCGUAGUCCAUAAGCUGAUCUGUGAGACACUCAACAAGCUACACUUUAACUCAGGAGCGUAGAUGACGUUCUCAAACUCAGUACUCCAUUUAUAACUAUUCCUUUUUGAGUGAUCUUCCCUCCAUUUCCUCCUGCGAAGGAAACAUAGCCCCCAUUAAAAGUCUGAAUGGCGUGCAGUUGGGAGAUGUCUCCUGUCAAUGUGCCUAGAACAACCACUGUCGACGUACCAAGGUCUGACAACAUUCCUCCGUAGCUGUUCCUGCACAAUGAGUGGGAUUAUUUAGGUUUGGGAACCCAGGUCAUUACAAGCCUGGGUUGACCAACAACUGAGAGGGUUUACAACUGCACAAGGGAUUACGACUGUACACUUGAUUACGGUUGUACACGGAUGUAUGGUCGUACACCCGUGUACGGCCGUGCACCAGAUCACAACCACACACACCAACCGCACACUCAACCACACACUCCAACCGUACACUCAACCGCACACCUUCAAAGUCUCAACCGCACACCUACAAAGUUCCAACUGCACACCUUCAAAGUCUCAGCCGUACACCUUCAAAGUUCCAACCGCACACCUUCAAAGUCUCAACCGCACACCUUCAAAGCUCCAACCGCACACUCAAAAACUCCAACCGCACACUCUAAUGAUUCUUAAAAAUGACACUGAUUUGGAUCUAAUACCAAUCGUUAGUCCCAAACUAUAGAUCCAAAUCAGUGAUCAAUGAAAUGCAAACAAUCAAACAAAGUUUAGAAGAAGUAGAAAGAGAAUUAAGUCAAGCAUGCACACAUCUAUAUCACAUAAAUGUCAGGUACACCUUGGAAAACACAUACAUACGUCACUGUUCACAUAUAUACCACUGACAUACUGACACAACCCUUUUAUACUACCCAUAGAGGCACACCAGUGUGAAGCCGCACACACGUGUAUGGCCGCACACACCUAAUAACAAACCACAACCACCACAACACACUCUAACAUCCUACCAAGACCUAUAUAAGAUAGAUGCCUAGACCAAACCACAUAAUUAUGACCUAACAAUCUCCCCCUUGGUUUGUGGCUAGCAUGAACUCAGGUCUUCUUGAUCAGCGUCACAAAGGUGUGUAUGUCUGGUUUCCUGAACUGCAGAAGAUCUUUAGCAUCAAUCAAGACGAAUAGCACAAUCGCUAUCUUGAAACUUGAUCACUGCAGUUGCGCAAGGCUCUUCGACUUUGCUCUUGAACUUGUCACCAAAUUCUACAAUAAGUAUGUUCUUCAAGUCAAAGUAGCCUGCUGAUAGGGCACCAAGAUUAAGUUGGAGAUCGGAGAUCUGUUUCGACUUCUAAAAGUUUUCUUCUUCAAGCUCGGAAACUCGAAUAUCGAGGUUUCCGAUCAGAACGUCUUUCUCAAUGAUCUUUUGUUUAAGAGUAGUGAUCUCCUCCUUAAGCUUUGAGAUAGAUGGGUCUGCUCCCCCUGAACUUCCUUCACCUAUUGAUAUUUAUUUGCCACGAGGUAAAUGAUCCAAAUCAUGUUGAGCAAGUAACCUGGAAAGCCUCACAGAGGCAGCAGCAUGCGCAGGUUGUGGAGGAGAAAAACCCCAAGGAGCAGAAGAACUCCCGAAUUCAAAUGAAGAUCUAACAUUACUUGGUCCUUUUAGGGUCGAGUGAGUUGGUGUAGCAGCUAUGGAGGGUUGUUGGACUGGUGGUUCUUGAUCUUGAAUAAACACUCCAUGCCUCGGAUCGAGUCGACUUCUUUUUACAGAAGGCAUGAAGAUUUGUGUCGGUGUCGAAUCACUUGUGGAUGGAACAGAUGUGGGAAUAGCAGAAUCAAGGGGAGGAAUCCUUGAAGUUGUAUCCAUAUCGGUUGAAAGGUGUCGGCCAUCUGAUCAAAAAAUUGGAGACGUCACUUUGAGAACACCACUAACUCCUUCUGUCUAGGUUGCACAACAUCAUGGACAGUGUCAAAGAAAGCAUCGAGUUCUUCACUGCUUAACCUUAUAUCAUUAUCCGUAGUCCAUAAGCUGAUCUGUGAGACACUCAACAAGCUACACUUUAACUCAGGAGCGUAGAUGACGUUCUCAAACUCAGUACUCCAUUUAUAACUAUUCCUUUUUGAGUGAUCUUCCCUCCAUUUCCUCCUGCGAAGGAAACAUAGCCCCCAUUAAAAGUCUGAAUGGCGUGCAGUUGGGAGAUGUCUCCUGUCAAUGUGCCUAGAACAACCACUGUCGACGUACCAAGGUCUGACAACAUUCCUCCGUAGCUGUUCCUGCACAAUGAGUGGGAUUAUUUAGGUUUGGGAACCCAGGUCAUUACAAGCCUGGGUUGACCAACAACUGAGAGGGUUUACAACUGCACAAGGGAUUACGACUGUACACUUGAUUACGGUUGUACACGGAUGUAUGGUCGUACACCCGUGUACGGCCGUGCACCAGAUCACAACCACACACACCAACCGCACACUCAACCACACACUCCAACCGCACACUCAACCGCAAACCUUCAAAGUCUCAACCGCACACCUACAAAGUUCCAACUGCACACCUUCAAAGUCUCAGCCGUACACCUUCAAAGUUCCAACCGCACACCUUCAAAGUCUCAACCGCACACCUUCAAAGCUCCAACCGCACACUCAAAAACUCCAACCGCACACUCUAAUGAUUCUUAAAAAUGACACUGAUUUGGAUCUAAUACCAAUCGUUAGUCCCAAACUAUAGAUCCAAAUCAGUGAUCAAUGAAAUGCAAACAAUCAAACAAAGUUUAGAAGAAGUAGAAAGAGAAUUAAGUCAAGCAUGCACACAUCUAUAUCACAUAAAUGUCAGGUACACCUUGGAAAACACAUACAUACGUCACUGUUCACAUAUAUACCACUGACAUACUGACACAACCCUUUUAUACUACCCAUAGAGGCACACCAGUGUGAAGCCGCACACACGUGUAUGGCCGCACACACCUAAUAACAAACCACAACCACCACAACACACUCUAACAUCCUACCAAGACCUAUAUAAGAUAGAUGCCUAGACCAAACCACAUAAUUAUGACCUAACAAUCUCCCCCUUGGUUUGUGGCUAGCAUGAACUCAGGUCUUCUUGAUCAGCGUCACAAAGGUGUGUAUGUCUGGUUUCCUGAACUGCAGAAGAUCUUUAGCAUCAAUCAAGACGAAUAGCACAAUCGCUAUCUUGAAACUUGAUCACUGCAGUUGCGCAAGGCUCUUCGACUUUGCUCUUGAACUUGUCACCAAAUUCUACAAUAAGUAUGUUCUUCAAGUCAAAGUAGCCUGCUGAUAGGGCACCAAGAUUAAGUUGGAGAUCGGAGAUCUGUUUCGACUUCUAAAAGUUUUCUUCUUCAAGCUCGGAAACUCGAAUAUCGAGGUUUCCGAUCAGAACGUCUUUCUCAAUGAUCUUUUGUUUAAGAGUAGUGAUCUCCUCCUUAAGCUUUGAGAUAGAUGGGUCUGCUCCCCCUGAACUUCCUUCACCUAUUGAUAUUUAUUUGCCACGAGGUAAAUGAUCCAAAUCAUGUUGAGCAAGUAACCUGGAAAGCCUCACAGAGGCAGCAGCAUGCGCAGGUUGUGGAGGAGAAAAACCCCAAGGAGCAGAAGAACUCCCGAAUUCAAAUGAAGAUCUAACAUUACUUGGUCCUUUUAGGGUCGAGUGAGUUGGUGUAGCAGCUAUGGAGGGUUGUUGGACUGGUGGUUCUUGAUCUUGAAUAAACACUCCAUGCCUCGGAUCGAGUCGACUUCUUUUUACAGAAGGCAUGAAGAUUUGUGUCGGUGUCGAAUCACUUAUGGAUGGAACAGAUGUGGGAAAAGCAGAAUCAAGAGGAGGAAUCCUUGAAGUUGUAUCCAUAUCGGUUGAAAGGUGUCGGCCAUCUGAUCAAAAAAUUGGAGACGUCACUUUGAGAACACCACUAACUCCUUCUGUCUAGGUUGCACAACAUCAUGGACAGUGUCAAAGAAAGCAUCGAGUUCUUCACUGCUUAACCUUAUAUCAUUAUCCGUAGUCCAUAAGCUGAUCUGUGAGACACUCAACAAGCUACACUUUAACUCAGGAGCGUAGAUGACGUUCUCAAAACUCAGUACUCCAUUUAUAACUAUUCCUUUUUGAGUGAUCUUCCCUCCAUUUCCUCCUGCGAAGGAAACAUAGCCCCCAUUAAAAGUCUGAAUGGCGUGCAGUUGGGAGAUGUCUCCUGUCAAUGUGCCUAGAACAACCACUGUCGACGUACCAAGGUCUGACAACAUUCCUCCGUAGCUGUUCCUGCACAAUGAGUGGGAUUAUUUAGGUUUGGGAACCCAGGUCAUUACAAGCCUGGGUUGACCAACAACUGAGAGGGUUUACAACUGCACAAGGGAUUACGACUGUACACUUGAUUACGGUUGUACACGGAUGUAUGGUCGUACACCCAUGUACGGCCGUGCACCAGAUCACAACCACACACACCAACCGCACACUCAGCCACACACUCCAACCGCACACUCAACCGCAAACCUUCAAAGUCUCAACCGCACACCUACAAAGUUCCAACUGCACACCUUCAAAGUCUCAGCCGUACACCUUCAAAGUUCCAACCGCACACCUUCAAAGUCUCAACCGCACACCUUCAAAGCUCCAACCGCACACUCAAAAACUCCAACCGCACACUCUAAUGAUUCUUAAAAAUGACACUGAUUUGGAUCUAAUACCAAUCGUUAGUCCCAAACUAUAGAUCCAAAUCAGUGAUCAAUGAAAUGCAAACAAUCAAACAAAGUUUAGAAGAAGUAGAAAGAGAAUUAAGUCAAGCAUGCACACAUCUAUAUCACAUAAAUGUCAGGUACACCUUGGAAAACACAUACAUACGUCACUGUUCACAUAUAUACCACUGACAUACUGACACAACCCUUUUAUACUACCCAUAGAGGCACACCAGUGUGUAGCCGCACACACGUGUAUGGCCGCACACACCUAAUAACAAACCACAACCACCACAACACACUCUAACAUCCUACCAAGACAUAUAUAAGAUAGAUGCCUAGACCAAACCACAUAAUUAUGACCUAACAAUCUCCCCCUUGGUUUGUGGCUAGCAUGAACUCAGGUCUUCUUGAUCAGCGUCACAAAGGUGUGUAUGUCUGGUUUCCUGAACUGCAGAAGAUCUUUAGCAUCAAUCAAGACGAAUAGCACAAUCGCUAUCUUGAAACUUGAUCACUGCAGUUGCGCAAGGCUCUUCGACUUUGCUCUUGAACUUGUCACCAAAUUCUACAAUAAGUAUGUUCUUCAAGUCAAAGUAGCCUGCUGAUAGGGCACCAAGAUUAAGUUGGAGAUCGGAGAUCUGUUUCGACUUCUAAAAGUUUUCUUCUUCAAGCUCGGAAACUCGAAUAUCGAGGUUUCCGAUCAGAACGUCUUUCUCAAUGAUCUUUUGUUUAAGAGUAGUGAUCUCCUCCUUAAGCUUUGAGAUAGAUGGGUCUGCUCCCCCUGAACUUCCUUCACCUAUUGAUAUUUAUUUGCCACGAGGUAAAUGAUCCAAAUCAUGUUGAGCAAGUAACCUGGAAAGCCUCACAGAGGCAGCAGCAUGCGCAGGUUGUGGAGGAGAAAAACCCCAAGGAGCAGAAGAACUCCCGAAUUCAAAUGAAGAUCUAACAUUACUUGGUCCUUUUAGGGUCGAGUGAGUUGGUGUAGCAGCUAUGGAGGGUUGUUGGACUGGUGGUUCUUGAUCUUGAAUAAACACUCCAUGCCUCGGAUCGAGUCGACUUCUUUUUACAGAAGGCAUGAAGAUUUGUGUCGGUGUCGAAUCACUUGUGGAUGGCAUAGAUGUGGGAAUAGCAGAAUCAAGGGGAGGAAUCCUUGAAGUUGUAUCCAUAUCGGUUGAAAGGUGUCGACCAUCUGAUCAAAAAAUUGGAGACGUCACUUUGAGUACACCACUAACUCCUUCUGUCUAGGUUGCACAACAUCAUGGACAGUGUCAAAGAAAGCAUCGAGGUCUUCACUGCUUAACCUUAUAUCAU